rnacentral:rRNA from 1 species
GAUGAACGCUGGCGGCGUGCCUAAUACAUGCAAGUCGAGCGAACGGACGAGAAGCUUGCUUUUCUGAUGUUAGCGGCGGACGUGUGAGUAACACGUGGAUAACCUACCUAUAAGACUGGGAUAACUUCGGGAAACCGGAGCUAAUACCGGAUAAUAUUUUGAACCGCAUGGUUCAAAAGUUAAAGACGGUCUUGCUGUCACUUAUAGAUGGAUCCUCGCUGCAUUAGCUAGUUGGUAAGGUAACGGCUUACCAAGGCAACGAUGCAUAGCCGACCUGAGAGGGGGAUAGGCCACAAUGGAACUGAGAAACGGUCAAGACGCCUACGGGAGGCAGAAGUAGGGAAUCUUCCGCAGUGGGCGAAAGACUGACGGAGCAACGCCGCGUGAGUGAUGAAGGUCUUCGGAUCGUAAAACUCUGUUAUUAGGGAAGAACAUAUGUGUAAGUAACUGUGCACAUCUUGACGGUACCUAAUCAGAAAGCAACGGCUAACUACGUG